UGCAAGUCGAACGGAAAGGCCGGGUGCUUGCACCUGGUACUCGAGUGGCGAACGGGUGAGUAACACGUGGGUGAUCUGCCCUGCACUUCGGGAUAAGCCUGGGAAACUGGGUCUAAUACCGGAUAGGACCAUUGGUUGGUACUGGUGGUGGAAAGUUUUUCGGUGCAGGAUGAGCUCGCGGCCUAUCAGCUUGUUGGUGGGGUAAUGGCCUACCAAGGCGGCGACGGGUAGCCGGCCUGAGAGGGUGGACGGCCACAUUGGGACUGAGACACGGCCCAGACUCCUACGGGAGGCAGCAGUGGGGAAUAUUGCACAAUGGGCGCAAGCCUGAUGCAGCGACGCCGCGUGGGGGAUGACGGCCUUCGGGUUGUAAACUCCUUUCAACCAUGACGAAGCUUUUGUGACGGUAGUGGUAGAAGAAGCACCGGCUAACUAC
rnacentral:rRNA from 1 species